ACCCUCUGAGGAUCACACCUGGAGAGUUUCCAGUACUCUUCCAGUCUUGGCUACAGGAGGGAGAGUCAAGCUGAGGCAUACCCAUUCCAUUCCUAGCUUAGACGGUGGCUAGUGAGUGGAAGACAAUUUACUAUCAGU